rnacentral:lncRNA from 1 species
CCUUCUCCUUCCCUUAGCCGUUUCAGACUCUCCCUUCUCCCCUUGAGUCGCCGGCACACAAGGCCUCCUCCUCCAAAAUCAAACUGCUCCCACUCCAGCUCCUUUCCCAUUCUUCCCCCAGCUGCUAGCCAAGACAAACCCAUUUUCUUCAUCAUCUCCUUCGGCCGGCAGCAGACCCAGCUCAUUGCUUCCAACAGCCUUCAUCAUCUCCUUCGGCGCCGUCUCCAGCUCCUCCACCAAGCGCAGCGGCAGCCCCCGCUGUCUUCUUCCUCUCCUGCCAACCGCCCAACAACUCCUUUCUCCAGCCCAGCGGCGAAACAGAGGAGAUUAGGAAAGGAAAAGAAACGAACAGAUCUGCCCCAAAAUGGAGAAAAAGAGCAGCACAAAAAAAAUGAAGAACAACUAAAACCGAUUGCUUUGUGUGUGUUUUUCUUGCUGUUGCAGGUGACGGUGACUCUCACCACCGGUGGAGGAAGACAGGGAAGAAGAAGACGUUCCCGAUCCACUGAUUUUUGGUCUCCAUCAGCGGCGGCGCGUGAGCCCACGCGCCGCCAGUGACGGUGGCGCGUUGGAACACGCGCCGCCAGCUGUUCCUGCCUCCAAUUCCUGUGCAGAAGGGUUCCUGUGCAAUUUCUGGAGUUUUGGGGGACUGAUUUGUAAAUUUCGGAUUAUUUAAUGUAAUUUAGUAUAAUGUGUAUUGUGGAUGUAAAAAGGGAGAAAAAUAAAAAAAAAUAAAAAUAAAAAAAAAAGAAAAAGAAAAAAGAAAACAAAAGAAGAAAAAAUAUAAUAAAAAAUGUGUGUUUGUGCUUGUUUUUUUAUUAUGUUAUAAAAAAUAAAAAAGGGCAAAAAAGAAAAGCAAAAAAGAAAAUAAAAAAUGCAUGUCUGUAUUUAUUUCAGGAAUCUUUUUACGAGAUGACAAAGCAUAAAGAAGGAUUUAAUAUUUUGAUCGGAUCACGGUGUAGAAGUACAAACUUGUACGAAAGUUGUAUUUCUAAAUUCUGAUGAAAAGACAAAAUUUUUAAAACUUCUUGGACACAUCACAACCACAAAGCAGCUUACCUCAGGUAGGGUGUGUUAGGGGUGCUAACACCUUCCCUAACCACAAUCAGUCCCUUACCCGCGAAUCUCUGACAAGACCAGUCAACUUGGGUUUCCUAGUAACCCUCAAUUAAAUACUAGAUGGCGACUCCUAACAAAAUCAAUUCCAAUAACAGAGAGA